AUCUCGGACGUGGUGGGGGAAGAGGGAAGAGAGGAGGAGGAGGCAGGGAGAGAGGAGGAGGAAAGAAGGGUGGAGGAUGUAGAAGGGAGGCGGUGGAUGUGAUGACGGAGAGGAGGGAGACGGGAGUUGAGGGUGCCACGGACGAAGCGGCGGCCUGAGCUUUUGCUCUCCUGUGAGAAAGAAAAUAGAUGACAUAAAUACAUGAGACGAUACAUUUGGGGUUGAAGGAUUGAACGAAUGAGAG